rnacentral:rRNA from 1 species
UAAGUGGUGGAAAUUAAACCAACUGGGAUCUCUUUAGUAAUUGCGCAUGAACCAGGAUAUGCUUAGCUUGACAAAUGGAGCUGCUGGCUCUGAAUUGUAUUGUGGGAAUGUAUUACCAACAGAGGUGCAGGUGUCAGCCAUUUGAAAGAAAGCAUCAAUGAGGGUGGGAGUCCUGUUUGUCAUGUGCAGCCUUCUGUGCACGGUGUAUAUUUGCUGAGUCACACUCCUUGGCAUUGGCAUGCAAAGUGGGUGGUAAGUUUCAUGCAAAGGUAAAUAUGCAAUUGAGACUGAUAGCGCACAAGUACCAUGAGGGACAUAUGAAAAGGACUUUGAAAAGAGAAUUAAAUGAGUUUGUAUUUGCUAAACACAAAGUAAACAGACUUGAUUUCCUCAGUGAGAUUGUAGUGCUUGCUUAACAAUGGGUUUUGGCUGCAAGUGCAAUAAUUCUUGCUUUGUGUGCCAGUUUUUAUGUGGACAUUUGAUUACCUUUGCACAUGAAUGGUAAUUUUCCUGCGGGGUGUGGAUUGCAUAUGCAUGUAAUGAUUUGCAUGUUUGUUAAAUGUGUCUGGUGUAUUUGUUUGUGUCCUUGUCCUUGAGGUUGCUUUCUCCCUUGGGCUUACAUGCCCUGGCACACACAUUCUGGCAAAAUGCUUCUGCUUGACCCG